UACGUAGGGGGCAAGCGUUGUCCGGAUUUAUUGGGCGUAAAGCGCGUGUAGGCGGCCAUACAGGUCCGUUGUGAAAACUGGAGGCUUAACCUCCAGACGUCGAUGGAAACCGUAUGGCUAGAGUCCGGAAGAGGAGAGUGGAAUUCCUGGUGUAGCGGUGAAAUGCGCAGAUAUCAGGAAGAACACCCGUGGCGAAGGCGGCUCUCUGGGACGGUACUGACGCUGAGACGCGAAAGCGUGGGGAGCGAACAGG
rnacentral:rRNA from 1 species